rnacentral:rRNA from 1 species
UACGAAGGGGGCUAGCGUUGUUCGGAAUCACUGGGCGUAAAGCGCGUGUAGGCGGCUUGUUAAGUCGGGGGUGAAAUCCCGAGGCUCAACCUCGGAACUGCCUUCGAUACUGGCGAGCUUGAGUCCGGGAGAGGUGAGUGGAACUCCGAGUGUAGAGGUGAAAUGCGUAGAUAUUCGGAAGAACACCAGUGGCGAAGGCGGCACACUGGCCCGGUACUGACGCUGAUAUGCGAAAGCGUGGGGAGCAAACAGG